GAGCAAACAGGAUUAGAUACCCUGGUAGUCCACACCGUAAACGAUGGAUACUAGGUGUUGGCAAUGAAUAAUUGUCGGUGCCGGCGCUAACGCAAUAAGUAUCCCACCUGGGGAGUACGACCGCAAGGUUGAAACUCAAAGGAAUUGACGGGGGCCCGCACAAGCAGUGGAGUAUGUGGUUUAAUUCGAAGCUACGCGAAGAACCUUACCAAGGCUUGACAUAUAGAGGAAUAAGUAGGAAACUAUUUAGCUCUUCGGAGUCUCUAUACAGGUGGUGCAUGGUUGUCGUCAGCUCGUGUCGUGAGAUGUUAGGUUAAGUCCUGCAACGAGCGCAACCCCUAUUUCUAGUUGCCAGCACGUAAUGGUGGGAACUCUAGAAAGACUGCCGGUGAUAAAUCGGAGGAAGGUGGGGACGACGUCAAAUCAUCAUGCCCUUUAUGUCUUGGGCAACACACGUACUACAAUGGCCGUUACAGAGAGAAGCAAUACAGUGAUGUGGAGCAAAACUCAAAAAGCGGUCUCAGUUCGGACUGUAGGCUGAAAUUCGCCUACACGAAGUCGGAAUUGCUAGUAAUGGCAGGUCAGAAUACUGCCGUGAAUACGUUCCCGGGCCUUGUACACACCGCCCGUCACACCAUGAGAGUUAGAAAUACCCGAAGCCUGUGAGCUAACAGUUUAAUAUUGAGGCAGCAGUCGAAGGCAGAGCUAAUGAUUGGGGUGAAGUCGUAACAAGGUAGCCGUAGGAGAACCUGCGGCUG
rnacentral:rRNA from 1 species